AUGCACGCUGGCGGCGUGCCUAAUACAUGCAAGUCGCGCGAACGGACGAGAAGCUUGCUUCUCUGAUGUUAGCGGCGGACGGGUGAGUAACACGUGGAUAACCUACCUAUAAGACUGGGAUAACUUCGGGAAACCGUAGCUAAUACCGGAUAAUAUUUUGAACCGCAUGGUUCAAAAGUGAAAGACGGUCUUGCUGUCACUUAUAGAUGGAUCCGCGCUGCAUUAGCUAGUUGGUAAGGUAACGGCUUACCAAGGCAACGAUGCAUAGCCGACCUGAGAGGGUGAUCGGCCACACUGGAACUGAGACACGGUCCAGACUCCUACGGGAGGCAGCAGUAGGGAAUCUUCCGCAAUGGGCGAAAGCCUGACGGAGCAACGCCGCGUGAGUGAUGAAGGUCUUCGGAUCGUAAAACUCUGUUAUUAGGGAAGAACAUAUGUGUAAGUAACUGUGCACAUCUUGACGGUACCUAAUCAGAAAGCCACGGCUAACUACGUG
rnacentral:rRNA from 1 species